UUCCCUGAAGUGUACUGCAAACCUAAAAACACCGCAAACCCGUCUUUCAUCACCACCUGGAUGACUGUUUGAAGAGAAACAGAAAACAACUCUUAACCCCUGAGAGGCUGGGCUCGCACUGAGAGAACAUGCCGUGGCCUCCCGCUCGCUGGGCAGAUGAGGAAACCCAAGCCCGAAGUAGGAACCAAAAGAAUUGGACUCUUUCUGGGCUAUCUGGAGCCUGCCUGAAGAAAAGUGAAGAGGCUAUUUAAGCAGUUUUAAGGAAUUUAUCUGGGAAACGAGGAAGGCUACUGACCAGCAAAUCCAAGCUGUUUAUAUGGGUCUGGAUGUUGUGCGCAUCUUCAGCAGGAACUCCCCUGAAGUGCUUAAGUUUUGAACUUCCUGUCUCUCUUAUGACCAUGGCAAAUGGAACCAUCCACUUGACACACUUCUCUAUAUCACACCACUGAUACCCUGCAACGAAAAUAAAUUUUAGGCUCGAUUGGUUUGGAAGUUUACUACACCUUGUGAAUGGACCGGAAAAGCCAACGUACCUGAAACCUUUUGCAUCAAUUCAGAGGAAGAGAAAUGAUACAAGGCAGAAGCAGCAAGUACACCAUAGGGAAAUUCUAAGCAGCCAACAUCCAGGACACAAAGAUCUAAAAGCUAUGGAGAAGAAAAAGAACACUGAGGCAGAUGGCCAACAUACAUCCCUUCUAGAGUUAAUCUAAUGACGGGGUAGGCAGCCCCACAGAGGUAACAGAGCCACUUACCUCUGCAAUCUGUAUGAAGAUUUGCUGGGGAUACUGUGGUAGGAGCACUUCAUAUAAAUCAUUUAGAUAUGCAACCUGCAUAUAUACAUUCAGCCAGGACACAAUGGUCAGGGGACUUAAAUGCCACUUAAGGGCCUAAGGGAAAACAGACAAAAGAGACCAAUGGUUGAGAAAAGAAAAAGAUAUUUCUGCUCCCCUUGGGCCUCUAAAGGAGUUCAAAAUGCAGCCAUGUUCCACGCCACAAUGUGUCCAGCUGGAGAACACCUAGGCGGAUGCACUCACACGAAUGUGGAAAAGCUAUUAUGUAUGCAUUUUUU